GUGGGGAAUCUUGCGCAAUGGGCGAAAGCCUGACGCAGCCAUGCCGCGUGAAUGAUGAAGGUCUUAGGAUUGUAAAAUUCUUUCACCGGGGACGAUAAUGACGGUACCCGGAGAAGAAGCUCCGGCUAACUUCGUGCCAGCAGCCGCGGUAAUACGAAGGGGGCUAGCGUUGCUCGGAAUUACUGGGCGUAAAGGGCGCGUAGGCGGACAGCUUAGUCAGAGGUGAAAGCCCAGGGCUCAACCUUGGAAUUGCCUUUGAUACUGGCUGUCUUGAGUUUGGGAGAGGUGAGUGGAACUCCGAGUGUAGAGGUGAAAUUCGUAGAUAUUCGGAAGAACACCAGUGGCGAAGGCGGCUCACUGGCUCGAUACUGACGCUGAGGUGCGAAAGCGUGGGGAGCAAACAGGAUUAGAUACCCGUGUAGUCC
rnacentral:rRNA from 1 species